UGCCCUCCCUUGAGGGAUAACCUAGGGAUGAUAUUUCCUGCUACAUCCUAAUCGGAUAGAGAAGUCGCCCUUGCAACAUAAAACCUGUAAUCCUCGUGGGACUGAUGGCCCUCAGUGCUUAGCUGCACAGGCAGCCCUGGGAAACGGUCUCCUCCUCCAGAAUGUCGUGCAGCUGCAGAACUCGCUGCCGAAGGACAACAUGCAAGUAAAACUGUCAGGACAACAUCCCAGCUAUGCGUAACAAGAUGAACUUGAAAGCCUGAGGAAGACAAAGUAAACCUAGACACAGGAGCUCAACCUGAGCAGCCUUCAGCUGGAUGUGAGAGAGAGGACUCGCACCUGGCUCUGUUUUGCUCAUUGUUAUCAGAAGCAGCCUCGUGCUUCAAUUCAAGGCAAUUGGCUGCAGUAAGGUAUG
rnacentral:lncRNA from 1 species